rnacentral:rRNA from 1 species
CCACGUCAGGCUAGACCACCCGCU